rnacentral:ncRNA from 1 species
UUCACGGAGAGUUUGAUCCUGGCUCAGGACGAACGCUGGCGGCGUGCUUAACACAUGCAAGUCGAACGAUGAAGCCCUUUCGGGGGUGGAUUAG